rnacentral:rRNA from 1 species
CCUACGGGUGGCAGCAGUGAGGAAUAUUGGUCAAUGGACGAGAGUCUGAACCAGCCAAGUAGCGUGAAGGAUGACUGCCCUAUGGGUUGUAAACUUCUUUUAUAUGGGAAUAAAACGUUCCACGUGUGGGAUUUUGUAUGUACCAUAUGAAUAAGGAUCGGCUAACUCCGUGCCAGCAGCCGCGGUAAUACGGAGGAUCCGAGCGUUAUCCGGAUUUAUUGGGUUUAAAGGGAGCGUAGGUGGAUUGUUAAGUCAGUUGUGAAAGUUUGCGGCUCAACCGUAAAAUUGCAGCUGAAACUGGCAGUCUUGAGUACAGUAGAGGUGGGCGGAAUUCGUGGUGUAGCGGUGAAAUGCUUAGAUAUCACGAAGAACUCCGAUUGCGAAGGCAGUUCACUGGACUGCAACUGACACUGAGGCUCGAAAGUGUGGGUAUCAAACAGGAUUAGAUACCCUUGUAGUC